GUGUGCGCCACGUGUGUGUCGUGAGCUCUAAGCACGUGAGUGUGUGUUGUCAUCUGCUGCUGCGCGAUAAGGAACAUUUUGUCAAGAGCGUACAAGACGAAAAGCGGGAUGUAUCUAUAUACCGUCCGUGCAUUGGCUGACGGGGAGGUAUGCUACCGACUCGGCUGCGUGGACGCGGGCACGAAGAAAGGAGCGCCGACUGACCAACGAUACUUUGACUGCGCAUGUGUGCCACUCAAGUGCAACAGUUCACGAGGCAUCCCAGGCCCCGAAAGAAGUUGGAAGAAGAUGCAAGCACAGCAUGCCAAUGUUGUUGAAUAUGCCAGCACGAAGUUUCCAGGCGCAAGUGUUUCUUAUAUAAAAGAAAGCCUAUUCUCUCCCCUCACAAGGGAAAUAAAAUCACUAUAUAAAAAUGCCUUUUCAUGUGCCUUUUUUGUUUUCCUGUUGGCUGCAGUUAAUAUUCAGCCUCAGUGAGCCAAAUCUUGCUACUUUAGACCUUAGUGAGAUAUAUCCCAGUACAAUGAAAAUACAAUGAAAAUUCAUCUCGAUCUAAAUCCAAUGAAUAUACAAUAACGAACCAAUGGAAAAACAACACAAUAAUACUACAACAGAUUUUCAAUGGAUUCACGGUGGCCACUUUUCCAUGACUACUCAACAAAUCUACAAUGAAAUACCAAUAAAAAUUCCACAAUUUUUUUGUUGAUGGUGGCACGAAAUAU
rnacentral:lncRNA from 1 species